rnacentral:rRNA from 1 species
GACGAACGCUGGCGGCGUGCUUGACACAUGCAAGUCGAGCGGAAAGGCCCUUCGGGGUACUCGAGCGGCGAACGGGUGAGUAACACGUGAGUAACCUGCCCUGCGCUUUGGGAUAACCCUCGGAAACGGGGCUAAUACCGAAUAUUCAUGGCGUCUCGCAUGGGAUGUUGUGGAAAGUUUUUCGGCGUGGGAUGGGCUCG